AUUAUGACUAGCACUGAUUUUAGCUGUUAAGUUUUUAACAUAACACUUUAAAUUCUUACAUGUACACAUGAUAUAUAAAAGAAAAAGGUAUGCAGUGCUCUUCCACUAAUUGACAACUAGAUAAGGUCAGGAAAAAAUAGUGAGGGAGAGGAAAGCAGGUUACUUAGGAUUCUGUCUUUAAAAUCACUUCAUGAAUAAACAGAGGAAAUCUGCCUGAUGGCGUUAAAAACAAAUAACAAUGCUGCAAACUGAGAGGCUGGGGAAACCUCUGCAUGAAAUGAAAAUGGCAGAUACACUGAGACACACUGGGCUGCAGGUAUUAGGACAGGAACGAGGACAAGUGUCGAGUCAGUUGGGACACACAGGAAGUAAAACAUGUUAACAGACAUACCCAUUUG